rnacentral:miRNA from 1 species
GGCUGCUCCGAGGGCCUGGGCCGGGCUGGGCUGGGCGGGGGGCUGGGUGUAACCGCGUGUCCCCCGCCUUGCAGCUUCCUCAUCGUCCUGAUC